GAUUAUGGCUCAGAGCGAACGCUGGCGGCAGGCCUAACACAUGCAAGUCGAGCGCCGUAGCAAUACGGAGCGGCAGACGGGAGAGUAACACGUGGGAACGUGCCCUUCAGUUCGGAACAACCCAGGGAAACUUGGGCUAAUACCGGAUACGUCCGAAAGGAGAAAGAUUUAUCGCUGAAGGAUCGGCCCGCGUCUGAUUAGCUAGUUGGUGAGGUAACGGCUCACCAAGGCGACGAUCAGUAGCUGGUCUGAGAGGAUGAUCAGCCUCACUGGGACUGAGACACGGCCCAGACUCCUACGGGAGGCAGCAGUGGGGAAUAUUGGACAAUGGGCGCAAGCCCUGAUCCAGCCAUGCCGCGUGGGUGAUGAAGGCCCUAGGGUUGUAAAGCCCUUUCGGCGGGGAAGAUAAUGACGGUACCCGCAGAAGAAGCCCCGGCUAACUUCGUGCCAGCAGCCGC
rnacentral:rRNA from 1 species